AUGUGUAAAGCUCAUUUGCUAGGACGAUGACGAUGACUACCAGAGGAAGACCCACGACUAACUUGCAGCAGCAGCCGUAUAACGAAGUAUGCGACAAGUAUCUCGAUAUUUGGUCGUAAAAAGGAUGCGUAGGCGGAUUUAGAAGGAGAUAAAAACUCGGCGUCCUCAUAGUAGGUGCAUUUUUCAAGCAGAUAUGUGUAGUGCAGAGAGGAUAGAAGUACUUCGUGUAGUAGCGAAGUAAUGAGUAGUGAGUAGGAAGAACACCGGUGGAGAAGGCGGCUUUGUCGAUUGUAGCUGAUGAUGCGGCAAAGCAGGGGGAGGAGCCAGCAUGAGUUGACACCGUAGUACUCCCCGUAAUAGAUGAUUAAUAGUAGUUGGAGGUGUUAUACACUCUUUCUCGCGGCAGUUCACACAAUAAGUAUUCCGGGGGGGGAGUUCGCUCGCAUGAUUAUCAAUCAAAGGAAUGGGGGGGGGCCCGCACAAGCAGCGGAGCAUGUUAUUUAAUUGGAAGCAACGGGAAGAACCUUACCUAGACUUUACAUCUAAUUGAAUUACCCUUAAUCGGGGAAGCCCUUCGGGGCAGGAAGACAGGUGGUGCAUGGUUGUUGUCAGCUCGUGUCGUGAGAUGUUGGGUUAAGUCCCGCAACGAGCGCAACCUUUAUCUUUAGUUGCUCCCAUUAAUGUGAGCUCUAUAGUGAGACUGCCACGGUUAACGUGGAGGAAGGGGGGGAUGACGUCAAAUCCUCAUGCCCUUUAUGUAUAGGGAUACACACGUGAUACAAUGGUGAAUACAAAUAGACACAAUACCGAGAGGGGGAUCCAAAUUAUAAAAUUCAUCCCAGUUGGGAUAUAGUGAAAAUCUCGAACACAAGAAGCGGGAGUUGCUUAUUAUCGAGAAUCAACAUGUCGCGGGGAAUACGUUCCCGGGCCUUGUACACCCCCCCCCUCACCCCCAGAGAGCUGGUAACACAAAAAGUCCAGAGGUAACCGUAAGGAGCCAGCGGCCUCAAGUUGGAAAGGU
rnacentral:rRNA from 1 species